GAAAUUGAAAUCGCUGUGAAGAUGCAGUGUACCCGCGGCUAGACGGAAAGACCCCGUGAACCUUUACUACAGCUUGGCACUGAACAUUGACCCUACAUGUGUAGGAUAGGUGGGAGGCUUUGAAGCACGUACGCCAGUAUCUGUGGAGCCGUCCUUGAAAUACCACCCUUGUAGUGUUGAUGUUCUAACGUCGACCCCUAAUCGGGGUUGCGGACAGUGCCUGGUGGGUAGUUUGACUGGGGCGGUCUCCUCCCAAAGAGUAACGGAG
rnacentral:rRNA from 1 species